CUGACGCGGUCAGGAGAGAGUUUUCACACGAAAACCGCCGAAGGCGCAUGCAACACCCUCAAGAGGGUGUGCUGAACGCUCAGGCAAAAGGACUGGCAACCGUCU
rnacentral:ncRNA from 2 species